rnacentral:sRNA from 1 species
AUGGCAUUGCAUGUCACAUCUGUUGAUGCUGUAAUGGCGGUUGUUAAUAUUCAAGAAGUAUUGUCCUGUAGACAUGCUUACUAAGCGAAUCAUCACGAACAACAUGGUAUCAUUGAUUUAUCAUUUAUAUAAUGUACACAAUGCUAGACUGUUUUUCAUUCAAAACAGCAACCAUUAACUUGACUAAUUGUGUAACUUUGUGAGGUGACCAAUCAACCAUGAACAAGAAUUGAUUUUUCUUUAUUUCACAAGAUUUUUCUAGCAAAUUCGUUGUUUUCCAUGCAAUGUUUACAUCACAAGGCUGUGACAUCCUCUCUCUAACCAAUAAUUGAAAAGGUGAUGAUCUGUAAUGUGUGUCCCACCAGGUGAAAGUCGUCAGACAAAGGACAGACAAACUAAUCAGGCAGAGUAAUUACAUCCCCUGAUCAUCCGUCAUACGGAUGAGCGUCCCCCACGUGUCUGACUGGUGUCCGUUCAAUCCGCAAUCUCAGGAUUACAUCGCACAGGAACAAUAAAAAAUCAUGUUGCUGUAUAAACAUUUCUGUUUGAUUAUGAGUGCUAAAAAAGCAAAGGCAAUUUUCUUAAUAGCAUACCCUACGGUUUACUCAAGGCUUCCGAUUUUUUGCCGAUGGGUUGGACAGGUGUGGAUUUAGAUUAGAGGCAGUCGGAGGUAGCCAUUGUGAAAUUUGACAGGUUUAGAGUCAGAGUGGUCGCUAUAUUAUUACCUACCAGCAUCCUACCCCUGACCCUCACCCCAGUAAAUCAAGCCUAGUCAUCUCUAGGACCUUUGUGUGGAUUUUAUGGACAUUUUCAGAUUGACAGAUUUUACGACAUUUUAUGUCCUGUGCAUCAUCUCCAAAUACAGUAUUUUUGCAAUAAAAACUAGAAUCCAUUAACAACUUUAUUUCUUUUUUGGUUUCUUCAUGAGAACUUGACAGUUGUCUCUAAGCAAAUACAGCCACCCAAUGAGAGAUUCUGAUUUCUCCAUAGUUGAAUAAACAAUAUGAUCUAUUUAUUCUUUCUGUAAUUCUUUCCGCUUCGUUUUGCUCUACCCUUUUGAUGAUAUCCGUCUUCAACAUUUUGUUUAAUUUUCUUAAUGUUUACGGAAGUAUACUGCAGUGUAUAAUUAUGAAAAUUCAAAUAAAUAUUGCACAACUCACUGGAAUUGUUCUACAUGAGUGACAGGCUCCUUCUGUAUAGAGCAAGAAAUGAUGUGUUUUCUAAAACAACCUAGAGUAAAUAACACAUCUAAAGGCAAUCAGUAACUUCCCUGCAUGUUUAGAGAACAUUACCCAGAGUUCCUUGUUAGAAGUCAUUUCCCCUGACCAGCCCUUCCUUUGCUGGAGAGUAGAGCUGGAGAUUCUGAAGGCUUAGCAGGGGGCCCUGGGGAGGCUUUCAUCUACCUGCCAGGUGAUUCAAUAAUUCACGAUCAAAAACAAAAACCAAGAUAAGAAAUCUGAGAAUCCGUGAAAUAUUGAUGAAGUGGUUGCUCUGUCUUCUCACCUCCAACCUCUGGAUGAGUUGUAACUAGAGUUAGUUUGUAUUGGACUCCUCAGUGAUAACAAAAUCCUAAUAUUGAAUAACAAAUGAGUUGUAGGAUUAUUUUUUUUUAAAUCUCUUCCUAUUUGAUUUUCAUGUAUUAUGAAUUAUUGGUAUUGUAAUAAUUUCAUGACUUAGAAAAAAGAAAAAUCAGAAUUUCU